rnacentral:lncRNA from 1 species
GGGAUGUGAGUGAGGGGAGGUGAGUUUUGUGCUUUGAGUUAAAGGAGGAGUUGAGUGUAAAUGUUGUGAGGAGUUUGUUCUUGUUGAUGAGGUCGUCGGAGGUGUGCAGUGUGGCUCGACGUGGUGCACAUGAUCCUUGGUGGUGUUGUGUGUGGCUUGUCGUGGUAGUUGGUGAUGCUCCGUUGAUGGUGCUUGGUAGGUGUAGCUCGACAUGGUGUGCGUGUGCGGUUGUAGUCCGUGUGCGAUCGUAACGUCGAUAGUUAUUGAAGAGUUCACGUGUUCACACACAAGUACAUACCAGAAAAUCGAUUCUCACACAAAUUUUUUGAGCAAUCAAUGUUGCACUAUACAACAAUUUGGUUUUUGAUAUUUGAUGUGAGGGAUAGCCGAUUAGUUGCAUGCAAAAUCCAUUAUCCCUUGUUUUUGAAUAAUUAUUUUUUAUUUUUCAUUUUGAUGUAUAAUGUUGUGAUUAUUUGAUUUAUGUAUAUGGGUAAAUGUUUUUUUUGUUUGGUUAAGUAAAUAA